CCUACGGGAGGCAGCAGUGAGGAAUAUUGGUCAAUGGGCGCGAGCCUGAACCAGCCAAGUAGCGUGAAGGAUGACUGCCCUACGGGUUGUAAACUUCUUUUAUAAAGGAAUAAAGUGAGGCACGUGUGCCUUUUUGUAUGUACUUUAUGAAUAAGGAUCGGCUAACUCCGUGCCAGCAGCCGCGGUAAUACGGAGGAUCCGAGCGUUAUCCGGAUUUAUUGGGUUUAAAGGGAGCGUAGAUGGGUUGUUAAGUCAGUUGUGAAAGUUUGCGGCUCAACCGUAAAAUUGCAAUUGAUACUGGCUGUCUUGAGUACAGUUGAGGGAGGUGGAAGUCGUGGUGUAGCGGUGAAAUGCUUAGAUAUCACGAAGAACUCCGAUUGCGAAGGCAGCUUACUAAACUGCCACUGACAUUGAUGCUCGAAAGUGUGGGUAUCAAACAGGAUUAGAUACCCGUGUAGUC
rnacentral:rRNA from 1 species